AACAGUGUGUGUAUACACACCUUACAGUCUAUGAUACACACCCACACGGUAUAUAAGUGGUGAGGGUGAGGGUGGUGUGCGCGCGCGGUGAUCGGUUACAGUCGGGUGAGUGAGCGGACAGAGACGGAAUUCUCUUCUGUUGACUCGGACAGCAGGACUCUCACUCUGGAUCUAUUAUGUCUUAAUGUAGCCUAUAUUCAGCGUGAUUUUAUAAACAUUCUAGAUUGUUCUUUAUUUCUCCUCUUCACACAGAUUCAAAUAGUGUGUAGAAAGAAGAAAACACGGAGAGAAAACUGCUGGAGCAUCAGAAACCACAGACGAGCAAAAACCAACAGGACAGAGAGAGAAAUGGAGGAGAGAGAUGAGACACAAACCAGCGGAGAGAAAAACAGACAGACAGCUGUUAGACGAGAGAGUAUGGAGAAAAAGCCAAACUUCUCACGUGAUCCAGAAAGGCCUGUAAAGUUUCAUUCAGAUGUUCUCAAGAACACACAACAUCAGUGACGUCCAGAAACAGACUGAACAUCAUCAUCAUCUUCAUCAUCUUCAUCACUCCAGACUACAGACUGUUCAGAUCCUUUUUCAGACUCGAUCAGAAACAAUCAAGACUUAUGAACGGAUUCUUUCUCACAUAAUUGAUAACUGUGUUUUAUUGCUUUACAAAAAUGUUUGUAUCAUUUUGCACUACAAUUCAUGUAUAAUGUAUAUUUUUGUAUUUCUGUAUAUUUUCAUAUAUUUCAUAGAUACCGUAUUUUAUUUAUAUUAUUCAGCAUAAUUCUGUAGUUUAUUUUUUAAAGCAUUAAUUAAUCAUCAUUUUAUCCUAUUGUAAAUUAUGCAGCAACCAUUGGAGGAUAAUAAUGGUUCAGUUUAUUUCAUCUGUACAGUUUACAUAUGCACACAUUAUUCUGAAGGAAUCUGAUACAGUUUUACAGUAAUCUCACAUAUAAUCAGCUUUUUACUGUAUGAUACGGUACAGCCAAUUUAAAACAGUUUUUUCUAUACAUGAUGUCUAGAAUUAACUGUAAAUAAGUAUUAAACAUAAAAAAAAAAAAACAUUUUACUGUAAUAAAUCUGUUUCAGGAGAGAAUAAGCCUGCUUAAGAUUGAAAUAAAUGAAUAAAUAAUAUAUUGUGCUUAAAACUGCAUCACAAACCAAAGAUACUUAUGCAUAAUACAAACAAUAAACAAAAAUGUCACUAUCCAAAGACUUUAUAUUGACUACGCAGGUUUGUUUAAAUGUGACAAAACGGUUUUAAAACAUCUUUCUUAAGGUGUUAUUUACAAGAAGAAACGAUCUGAAAACCAGUCAAAUACAUUUGAACAUUUAAACGCAGAGUUUUCAUCCUUACACUUUAAUUGCUGAGCUGUCAUGUUUUCACGACCAAACUCUCGAACACUUCAAAACACGCCAGACUUAAACCUGUGGCCUGAGAUCUAGAGACAGUCGUGGGGUUCAUAUACUGUAUGUCAUAUGUGCUGAAAUACUGGAUCAUAGAUAUUAUGAAAACACUCGUCUGAGCUCUGACUCUACAAACUCAUGAAUGUGAUGCAGAUCUAGAGAUCUGUUCAGUGUGUCAUGCUGUAUUGAGUCGCUCUCUACUGGAGAUCAUCAGUAUUACAGAAGAUCAACAGCUGACAGAAAACCCACAUCCACAGAUACAUUUCUAUUAUCAUAAAAAAAAAAAAAAUCACAAUUAAAAUAUGCUUAAUUUUAAUGCUAAUCACUUGGUUUUUUUUUUCUUUUUUUUUUUUCUUUCUUUUCUUUUGAAUCUGGGGUGAAAUUAGACCUGGCUAUGUUUUAAACGGGGCAACAACAAGCACACAAUUAUUCAAUAUAAACCUGUGAUAGAAAAGCCUGUCAAUCAUCAUUAGAGCACCACAACACUGCAUGAUCUCUGUAAUCUUAGGAAAGAACAUUUCUGCCUUAUGAACAGUGACAGUCACAUUUGACCCACAUUUCCUUUGGCUUUGAGCUGCCAAAAAAGCUCCAUAUAAACAACAUGAAGGUUCUCCGUUCUGUGUAAAGGCUGAGUCACUCGACGGUCGGCCACACCUUGUGUUUCUUGCGCUGAAGUAAGGACAGCUUGUCCUGCUUUAUCUACGAGGUGUACGGAGGGAUGUUGAAUGCCAAGAAUGUUGUUGUUUUUGAGGAAAUUACGUGAUCCACUGCGAGCACUUUCGUUAUCAGGCAACAACGAUGUGCACACUCAUGGAGUAUAAGCUGGAAGAGCAAGAUCUGAGGAAUGCUGUAGUAACCCCUUUAUUUAUUUAUUUUUUUUUUUAUUCCUGAACGAAAUCACAAUGUUGAGAUCAAUUUAACAAUUAAUUAGCUGUUUGCAGAGUCAUACAUUUUAAUUUAACCAGUCAGGUGGACAUUUACAUUUACCUGAACUUCAGCUACACGUUUACUAAACUUAACGUUUUAAUUUUACUGUGAGUUGGAAAAUGAUCUGGAAUUAGUGAGGGUUUUCUAAUAAAGUGCAGAUAUAAUGUUUAAGAAACAGCUGCACCAUAACAAGAAUAGCCAGAAUAGCAGUGUACAGUGAGACAAGAUUAUUUACUUUUACAAAUAAUUAGAAUUGAAUUUAAGAAAUAUAUUGAUACUAAUAUUUUUCUAGUGAUCUAUUAGUCUGUAUUUUCAUUGAGCAUAUCUAUUUCGGCAUGCCGUGUUUUUGUCUCGUGCAUCACUAUAUCAGCUGCAGCUUCAGACUGAAUCACGCAUUUAUAUGUAAUGUUAGAUAAUAUCACUACCAAAACUUCGCAGUGGCUGUCGGUCCUCUUACCAGCAUGAAAAACAAUACUUUUUUUUCUUUGUUCAGCGGAUUAUAGCUGUAUAGCAUUGAAAGUGUGAAAGACUGCUCACUUUACAAUCACUAGAAAGCUGUCACUCAUCUCAGUUCAGUUCGCGAUCUCACGAGUUUAGUAAUAAAUAAUGAUGUUAUUGCCUUCAGUAGAGUUUCUCAGAAAUGAAUGUUUUGAAUGAAAUAAUCUGUACUGCAUAAAGCUAGAAAUAAACGUGACUUAACUUGUGCUCGACUGCAUCAACAGAAUAUAACAACAGACAGGUAUGCAAUAAAUCAUGAUAUUACACUUACA